rnacentral:sRNA from 1 species
UGCAGGCGCGGGGAACACCCAUGGCGGGGUACUUGAAGCUGGUGUGUGCUUCCUUUCAGCGUCAAGGGUUCCACACUGUUGGGAGUCACUGCAAGAAUCGGACAGGCGCUGAGCACCUGUGGCUGACCCGGCAUCUCAGGGACCCAUUUGUGAAGGCUGCGAAGGUGGAGAGUUACCGGUGUCGAAGCGCCUUCAAGCUCCUGGAGGUGAACGAGAGGCACCAGAUUCUGCGGCCCGGCCUUCGGGUGUUAGACUGUGGGGCAGCUCCUGGGGCCUGGAGUCAGGUGGCGGUGCAGAAGGUCAACGCCGCAGGCACAGAUGGAGUCUCACUCUUGCCCAGGCUGCAGUGCAAUGGUGUGAUCUCGGCUCACUGCAACCUCUGCCUACCUGGUUCAAGCGAUUCUCCUGCCUCAGCCUCCCCAGUAGCUGGGAUUACAGGCGCCCGCCACCGCACCCAGCUAAUUUUUUCUUUUUGUUUUUUUAAGUAGAGACAGGGUUUCACUAUGUUGGCUAGGCUGAUCUCGAACUCUUGACCUCAGGUGAUCUGCCCACCUCGGCCUCCCAAAGUGCUGGGAUUACAGAUGUGAGCCAUGGUGCCCGGCUACUCUUAAUGAUGUAUUGACAUCUUUCCCCAACAGCACAGCUAAAUUUCCAAGUCGCAUAAGCCCUGGGGCUUUCCUGGUGGCCCCACUGGGGCUGCUCCUUCCGGAACCUAGAAGAGGCUUCAUGGCCAGGGCUAUGGAUUCUUUGCUCUGGAUGAAGCUGAGACGCAGUUUUCAUCUGUUUUGUAUCUUAGGGUUUUGAGUAAGAUUUUCUAUAUAAAAAGGUUCUCCUGAAUAAUGAGAUCAGCCAACCACCCAUGCAACUGAAGACACUGUCGUCAUUGGGAAAGUUUCAUCCUAUUCCAUGUAGUGCUUGCACCGUAGGUUCUUUAACCAGCUCCCUCACUGUGGCAUCAAGGUUGCUUUUGGCUUUUGGCUGGGAUGCGUGUGCUGUGGUGAAUAUCCUUGCCAUUUAUGUUUCCUGCUGUAAAGCCAGGGUAGCUGCAUGCACUGGCAUUUGAACAGGGUGAGACAGUCCACCCAGAGCUCUCCCAAGUCUCUCCCAAAUACCUUAGAGUAGGGACACUGGUCCCCAUUUAUUGGUGAGAAAACAGGCUCAGGGUUUCAUGACUUGUUGAAAGUGCAGAAAUGGAAUGCUGGCCCCCUGGAUCUGCACAUCCGCCUCACUGCUGGUUUGCGAUCCCAGCUCUCCUGUUGGCUUCGUGCUUGGGGUAGAUCUUCUUCACAUAUUCCCCCUGGAAGGAGCAACUUUUCUGUGCCCUGCUGAUGUGACUGACCCGAGAACCUCACAGAGAAUCCUCGAGGUGCUUCCUGGCGGGAGAGCAGAUGUGAUUCUGAGCGACAUGGCGCCCAAUGCCACAGGGUUCCGGGACCUCGAUCAUGACAGGCUCAUCAGCCUGUGCCUGACCCUUCUCAGCGUGACCCCAGACAUCCUGCAACCUGGGGGGACAUUCCUUUGUAAAACCUGGGCUGGAAGUCAAAGCCGUCGGUUACAGAGGAGACUGACAGAGGAAUUCCAGAAUGUAAGGAUCAUCAAACCUGAAGCCAGCAGGAAAGAGUCAUCAGAAGUGUACUUCUUGGCCACACAGUACCACGGAAGGAAGGGCGCUGUGAAGCAGUGAGGAUUUCUUGUGCCAUUUUCAUAAUGGUCAUUAGCUCCUUUUAAGCUAGAAACGUAGCCUGAGCUCCUUCCUGAAGAGUUCCUGGGAGAUUUGAGCUGAUUUUGGAGAUGGAGCAGGACAAGUGGGGAGUCUCUCUCUCUCUUUCUCUCUCUCUCUCUUUUUAACCAAAAAGAGAUGACAAAACUAAGUUCAGGGGCCAUGGAAAAUGAAAAAGUCCGCUAUAUUGUGAUUUGGGAAGAGAAAGUUAUCAAGAGAAAGAGGUGAGGAUGGAAGGAUGGAGAAAAACAGACUGUGGGAAGGAUCAGAAGGAAUCCGCCGAGGCAGGGAUGGGUGUGCCCAUGUGUGCCUUGACGGGACUUCAUCUUAUAGACUGUUAAACUGUCACACAGAAACAGGCUUUCCACCCCUGCUCUGAGAGCACCACGCACAGAUUUCCAGUUCUUAGUGUGGCUGUUUAAAGUAGAAAAUCUGGGGGCUGGGUGAGGCCACUCAUGCCUGUAAUCCCAGGCCUUUAGAAGGCUGAGGCUGGGGGAUUGCUUGAAGUCAGGAGUUCAAGACCAACCUGGGCAACAUAGCAGCACACCCCAUGUCUACAAAAAUGAAAAACCAAAAAGCAAACCAAAAGAAAAAUCUGAACUUUCCAUCUGGGGAUUAACUUCUGUCUUUCUGGUGAACAAUAUAGCAAUUCACGCAUUCUUCAAGCAGCAAAAGUUCCCGGAACAAUUAGGGAAGACGUAUGGUCUGAAUUUAUCCAUGCAGUGGGUCUGCUUUGGUUUUUGCUGGAAAUUUAUACCAGUGUCUGGGCUCCCAAGAACAUAAAGGUAAUUGCCAAA